rnacentral:rRNA from 1 species
GAUGAACGCUGGCGGCGUGCCUAAUACAUGCAAGUCGAGCGAACAGACGAGGAGCUUGCUCCUCUGACGUUAGCGGCGGACGGGUGAGUAACACGUGGAUAACCUACCUAUAAGACUGGGAUAACUUCGGGAAACCGGAGCUAAUACCGGAUAAUAUAUUGAACCGCAUGGUUCAAUAGUGAAAGACGGUUUUGCUGUCACUUAUAGAUGGAUCCGCGCCGCAUUAGCUAGUUGGUAAGGUAACGGCUUACCAAGGCGACGAUGCGUAGCCGACCUGAGAGGGUGAUCGGCCACACUGGAACUGAGACACGGUCCAGACUCCUACGGGAGGCAGCAGUAGGGAAUCUUCCGCAAUGGGCGAAAGCCUGACGGAGCAACGCCGCGUGAGUGAUGAAGGUCUUCGGAUCGUAAAACUCUGUUAUUAGGGAAGAACAAAUGUGUAAGUAACUAUGCACGUCUAGACGGUACCUAAUCAGAAAGCCACGACUAACUACGU